CCUCCUUCCUGCCCGCCUCCCCGGGCGGAGAGCACCCGGCCCGGCCGCCUCUUUCCCCCCUCCCCGUCCCCUUCCCUGCCCCUUCCCUUCCCUCCCGGCCCCGCUGCCAGGGGCGAAGCCGCCCGCCGGGCCCCCGCGGCCUUUUUCCUUGGAUUUUAGUACUGGAAUACUUUCUAAUGACAACUUUGCUUAGGAGCUGAGCGUCGUGACCUGCCCUGCUCCUCCCUGCUCGGUGUGGGAACGACCUGAAGGACAUCUUGGAGCUGCCUGUACUGCUUCAUGCA